GACGAACGCUGGCGGCGUGCUUAACACAUGCAAGUCGAACGGAAAGGCCCUGCUUUUGUGGGGUGCUCGAGUGGCGAACGGGUGAGUAACACGUGAGUAACCUGCCCUUGACUUUGGGAUAACUUCAGGAAACUGGGGCUAAACCGGGAAAGGAGCUCCGGCGGCAGGGGGGGGGUGGGAAAGUUUCGGCGGUUGGGGAUGGACUCGCGGCUUAUCAGCUUGUUGGUGGGGUAGUGGCUUACCAAGGCUUUGACGGGUAGCCGGCCUGAGAGGGUGACCGGCCACAUUGGGACUGAGAUACGGCCCAGACUCCUACGGGAGGCAGCAGUGGGGAAUAUUGCACAAUGGGCGGAAGCCUGAUGCAGCAACGCCGCGUGCGGGAUGACGGCCUUCGGGUUGUAAACCGCUUUCGCCUGUGACGAAGCGUGAGUGACGGUAAUGGGUAAAGAAGCACCGGCUAACUACGUG
rnacentral:rRNA from 1 species